rnacentral:lncRNA from 1 species
GCUGUGUUUGCAAUCCAAUGGCUCGACAAAAGAAAGGAAGACCUAGAAGCCUGGGAGCCAAGAGGACUGGGAAUCAGGCAGCCUCAGUCCCGGAAGCCUCAGUUUUCUCGUCUGUAAAAUGGACAUGAUAAUAUAUACUUUGUAAAAUAGCUGGGCUUACAUGGGCUGUGCAACAGAA